GUCCCGGUAGCUCAGCUGGAUAGAGCAGCCCCCUCCUAAGGGGCAGGUCGGGGGUUCGAAUCCCUCCCGGGACGCCA
rnacentral:tRNA from 1 species